rnacentral:rRNA from 1 species
AUACGACCAUACCUAUUGGAAAACUCGGGAUCCCGUCUGCUCUCCCAUAGAUAAGCCAGUGAGGGCCGGAUUAGUAGUUGGGUCGGUGACGACCAGCGAAUACCUGGUGUUGUAUG